rnacentral:rRNA from 1 species
UAGUCCACGCCGUAAACGAUGUCAACUAGGUGUUGGGACGGUUAAUCGUCUCAUUGCCGCAGCUAACGCAUUAAGUUGACCGCCUGGGGAGUACGGUCGCAAGAUUAAAACUCAAAGAAAUUGACGGGGGAGCGCACAACCAGUGGAGCAUGUGGUUUAAUUCGACACAAAGCGAAGAACCUUACCUGGGCUUGACAUGUACCUGCAAGCUCUAUGAAAGUAGAGCCGCCUACGAGGGUGGUACACAGGUGCUGCAUGGCUGUCGUCAGCUCGUGUCGUGAGACGUCCGCUUAAGUGCGGUAACGAGCGCAACCCCCACUGUAUGUUAAAUGAUCAUACGGGACUGCCUUACAGCAAGUAGGGAGGAAGGAGGGGAUGACGUCAAGUCAGCAUGGCCCUUACGCCCAGGGCAACACACAUCCUACAAUGGGGAGGACAGUGGGUCGCGACGGAGUAAUCCUGAGCUAAUCCUCAAACCUCUCCUCAGUUCGGAUUGUGGG